rnacentral:lncRNA from 1 species
CCGAAUUGCAAUACGUUUUUUAUAGGUCAUAAAAAUUAAUAACCAAUAAUGAAAGUAUCUUUAUUUAUUCAAUAUCAAUAUUCAUUACUUCAGUAUGAUCAUAAAUUUGAUUACCCCUUGUACAAACAAAAUAAGUUAAUCAUUUUUCACGACUUAAACAAAAAUUAUCUUAUUAGCUAAAAUUAUUUUUAAAAGCUGAGUAUAUUUGGAUGGAUAUUCCAACUAAUAUGGUGUUACAACAUAACACUAUGGUAUAAGAAACAACAUUCACUGAUACGAAUUUGAUCUGCACUUAAUAAUGGAGUUUCACAUUAAUAAAGAAUUGCUCAAUUGGAGGAUGAAUUAAACAAAAAUUAAGUUCAUUUACAACCGAAUUAUAUGGUAGCCAAUUCUU